UACGUAGGGUGCAAGCGUUAAUCGGAAUUACUGGGCGUAAAGCGUGCGCAGGCGGUUCGCUAAGACAGAUGUGAAAUCCCCGGGCUUAACCUGGGAACUGCGCUUGUUACUGAUAGGCUUGAGUGUGGCAGAGGGGGGUGGAAUUCCACGUGUAGCAGUGAAAUGCGUAGAGAUGUGGAGGAACACCGAUGGCGAAGGCAGCCCCCUGGGCUAACACUGACGCUCAUGCACGAAAGCGUGGGGAGCAAACAGG
rnacentral:rRNA from 1 species